rfam:Myotis davidii contig123483, whole genome shotgun sequence.
AGGCCUGGAGAGAGUUGCAGGGUCUGAUCCACAGCCUCCAUGGCAGCUAUUGAUCAGCCAUUGCCUCUCUCUUUCUUUCCA